AGUUGUAUCCUGGCUCANGAUNAACGCUGGCGAGAUGCUUUACACAUGCAAGUCGUACGCGAGUCUUUGACUCGAGUGGCGGACGGGUGAGUAACACGUAAGAAUUUGCCUUUAGGAGGGGGACAACAACUGGAAACGGUUGCUAAUACCCCAUAUGCUUUCGAGUGAAAUGGAUUUUUUCCGCCUAGAGAGAAGCUUGCGGCUGAUUAGCUUGUUGGUGAGGUAAUGGCUUACCAAGGCGACGAUCAGUAUCUGGUUUGAGAGGACGAUCAGACACACUGGAACUGAGACACGGUCCAGACUCCUACGGGAGGCAGCAGUGGGGAAUUUUCCGCAAUGGGCGCAAGCCUGACGGAGCAAUCUCGCGUGAGGGAUGACUGCCUAUGGGUUGUAAACCUCUUUUUUCAGGGAGGAAUAAAUGACGUGUACCUGAAGAAUAAGCAUCGGCUAACUCCGUGCCAGCAGCCGCGGUAAUACGGAGGAUGCAAGUGUUAUCCGGAAUCACUGGGCGUAAAGCGUCUGUAGGUGGUUUAAUAAGUCAACUGUUAAAUCUUGAGGCUCAACUUCAAAAUCGCAGUCGAAACUAUUAGACUAGAGUAUAGUAGGGGUAAAGGGAAUUUCCAGUGGAGCGGUGAAAUGCGUAGAGAUUGGAAAGAACACCGAUGGCGAAGGCACUUUACUGGGGCUAUUACUGACACUCAGAGACGAAAGCUAGGGUAGCAAAUGGGAUUAGAUACCCCAGUAGGUCCUAGCUGUAAACAAUGGAUACUAGAUGUUGAACAG
rnacentral:rRNA from 1 species